rnacentral:rRNA from 1 species
UACAGAGGGUGCAAGCGUUAUUCGGAAUUAUUGGGCGUAAAGCGCAUGUAGGUGGUUAGAUAAGUCUGAUGUGAAAUCCCCGGACUCAAUUCGGGAAGUGCAUUGGAUACUGUUUGACUGGAGUAUGGGAGAGGUAAGCGGAAUUCCAGGUGUAGAGGUGAAAUUCGUAGAUAUCUGGAGGAACAACAGAGGCGAAGGCGGCUUACUGGACCAUUACUGACACUGAGAUGCGAAAGCGUGGGGAGCAAACAGG